AUGCCUGUUGCCAUUCGUAAUAGAAGCUGGGAGGAUCACGUGACUUCACCACGAACAGGAUUACAGUACAGCUAUGAUGACUUAGACUUGGUUUGCUGCCAUGCAAGGCACCGGCGAGGUAGAUGCGCCUCCAUGCCAGAAUGUGGCCAUCAUCAUCUUUACCCUCAGGAUGAUAUUGGAAAUGGUACAAAAAAGAUGGAGAGGAUAUUGCAAAAGUUUAAGAAUGAGACUCAACCUAACUGUGAAGAUGUAAAGAGCCAAUUGUUGACAUCUAGAGAUGCUGUCAAUGAAAAGGCACAGCUUGAGAGUGAGCAAGAUAACAGACUACUUUCAAACAACGUGGCAGAUCAAGAUGAAUUACAGCAUUCUGCUUUGGGAAAUUUGCAAACUCACAAUGGAGAUGCAGAUAAUAAGAAGCUAAACAAGGAUAAAGUGUCUUCAGCCAUUAGCUUGUCACAUCUUGUGCCUUCUGCUGAAGCGUUGGAUCAAACAAAUGGUUUAGGAAAUGUUUUGAAGGAUGGCAUCUCCUUAAACAACACAGUCAAAGAAGACUGCUCUGAGCUAACUCAUCCCAAAGAAGAAACAUCUGUGGAAAACACAGAAUCUAUGGUGAAGGUCAAUGUGGGCAGUGAGAAGUUAGUAUAUGAACACAUGAAUGUGACAAGCAGCAUCACAGAAAUAACUAAUAAACCUCCCACUUCUGAUUCAUCUGCUGACCCGUGUGAUAAUGAGGAAGGACAUUGUUGUGAAACAUCUGAACAGGCAAUUUUAAAAUGUAUUAAAACUGAACGCUCAAGCAAACCUAUGUCAUCAUCAUCAACUUCUCAAGAAGAUCAUCACAUUCCCCACACAGAAGAUGCUAAUAAAGCAAAUCUAGCAUGCAAAGAUUGCAAUAUGACUCCAGAAGAAAAUGGAGAUGGUAUUUUUAAGUGUGCUGAUGGUGAUACGUUAAACGUUGGAUGCAUUAACCCACAUGCUUGUGAAAGUUCUCAACUGAAAGAAUGUGGAGUAAUAGACAUCAUGGAUACAUGGCAUGACUGCUCGUCCAAACUCCAAACCAUCCAUGAGGGGUCGUGUCCUGAAUCUGGAGAUGAUUCUUCUGCUCAGAUAUCAGGUGAUGGGCCAGAGGAACCAACAUGCAGAGGAUUAAACACAAGGAACUGUGAAAAUCUGACAGCCUCAGAGGAUCUCAGAGAACCUCAACCUGAAGGAAUCUAUGAGGAUCAUCAGGCGACUCAAAACACUGCAGCCAAGGACUGUGAGAUGGUCCCCAAAGCUGAUGGUAGCAUUGUCAAGCUUCGCACAAGAAAGAGCUCACAUGAAGAGAGGGAGAAGGAGAGGUCCCGGCUGGACUCAAUGGUUCUACUAAUAAUGAAGCUGGAUCAGCUGGACAAAGAGAUUGAAAAUGCUCUAAGCUCCUCCCUAAAUAGCACACCCAAUUUAAAGAGGCGGAUCAUUUCUGAUGUUGACUUAGAAACUCUGGAUUCAGCCGGAAGUCUUUCAGCCUCCUCACAGUCUCUAAACACCCCACUUUAUCGCUCUUCUUCAUCGUUGUCUUCAUCAGGACCCACCGGAACCCCUGGAGCAAGACCAAAAAAUGAGACUUCUGCUGUACUUUCUGAGAACGACAGAGCAGGGUUAUGCCUGGAGUCCAUACUGCUAUGCUACUACUACACCUUUUUCUGUUUUGCAGCUGGACAGGCAUCCACUGUGUAAAACAUAUUCUGGAUAAGUUGGCAGUUCCUUUGGCGGAAAAUGUAUUUUGAAUUGAUGAAUAGACUGAAAAGUAUAGUUUUGGAAGCAUGGCUAUCCACAAUCACUGUCUGACUAGACCAAUUGUGCAUCGGUUCCUGAUUAGUCGAGCCCCUCUCACAUGACCAUUACACAACAAGUACAGAUGCCAGCAAAAUAUGUCCAUGUCCACUGAGUGGGAAUGGUCAGUGUUCUAGGCUGUAUAGAGGGUGAAUGGAGAUGGUUUUUAAAAAUAGCAGUAACAUGACAGUCAAGAUGAAGAGUGUUUUCAUUCUAAAAUCCUGUUUUAAAACAAAGCGCAGUCAUGUAAAUGCAGCCUUAACGUAAAACCUGUCUGUGAAACUAGGCCAUAGUUUCUUAUUCAUAUGAUGAAGUUGUAGUUUUUUUGUCUAUCUAUCUAUCUAUCUAUCUAUCUAUCUAUCUAUCUAUCUAUCUAUCUAUCUAUCUAUCUAUCUAUCUAUCUAUCUAUCUAUCUCUAUCUAUCUAUCUAUCUAUCUAUCUAUCUAUCUAUCUAUCUAUCUAUCUGUCUGUCUGUCUGUCUGUUUGUUUGUCUGUCCGUUCAUCCGUCCGUCCGUCCGUCCGUCCGUCCUAUCUGUCUGUCUGUCUGUCUGUCUGUCCAUCCUAUCUGUCUGUCUGUCUGUCUGUCUGUCCGUCCUAUCUGUCUGUCUGUCUGUGUGUCUAUCUAUCUAUCUAUCAAUUAAUCAAUCAUCUGCCCAUCCAUCCUUCCUUCCUUCCUUCCAUCCAUCCAUCCAUUCAUCUAUCCAUGUUGUUACAGUACAUGGUGCAGUAUUGCAACCGUGGAACUUAUUUAUUUCAAGUCUAAGUUACUGUUUUUGCUUCAUUUUUUUAUAAACUAUGUGAGAAAUCGUAUAGGUUUGUGAUCUGUGACUUGAUUGAUAAAUGUGUGAUUUCUCAGUAUUUUUCACCAAAAAAAAAAAAAAAACAUAAGCCAAAUUAAUUUUCAGUGAUAAUAGUGUACAGAAAUUGUAUUUAAAAGCACUGCAUAUUUUCCACUUUCGCUUUAAAUGAGCGUGACAUUUGCAACAGUACUCUCUUUUAACUUUUAAAAAGCAGAUUUUUCCUGGUGUGCACCUGGUUUGGUUGGGUUUAGGCAUGGCUGCUGGUGGUUCAGUGUUCUUCGUCAGAGGUGAGAGUUCAGUUCAGGGUUAAAGGUCAGGAAAGGUAAGGUUAGGUGAUCGGCCUGUGCAAUCCAUUGACCGUCAGUGCAGAAGCUCACACCAUAUGCUUCCUGCAGCACAACCUGUUUCCAUCUGCUUCUCCAAAAGUUAGACUAACUCCCAGAAAAUGCUUCCCUGCUUAUGUUUUAGUGUUCUCUCACUGAUUGACUGAUGAUGUUUAGACAUCCUCAUAAAUGUAUCCUGCUAGUUUUGAUUAAAAUGCAAUGUAAAUGUCCAUAUUUGAACCGUGUUGCGUUAGUAAAACUCAUAUAAUUUUUGAGAAUUAUCAGCAGUCAGAAAUAUGCUAUUUUAGUUCAAAUGACUCAGGCGAACACAUUUCUCUAUUCAUUUACAGACAUACCCUUCCUACUGUUAUAUUGCUUUUUUAUUGUUAUUUAUAUCAUAUUAUAAGAAAUGAAUUACAAAUUCUCAAAUUACUGUAAUUGAGCAGUUUUUUCUCAGGAAUACUUAACUAUUGUUUACUUAACUAUCUUUUACAUGAGUGUAUUUUAAGCACU
ensembl:lincRNA